rnacentral:rRNA from 1 species
AUGAACGCAGCGACAGGCUUAACACAUGCAAGUCGAGGGGUAACAGGGUAGCAAUACCGCUGACGACCGGCGCACGGGUGAGUAACGCGUAUGCAACCUGCCUAUAACUGGGGAAUAGCUCCCUGAAAGGGGGAAUUAACACCGCAUAACACUAUUGAUUCGCAUGGAUUAGUAGUUAAAUGUAGCGAUACAGGUUAUAGAUGGGCAUGCGUGACAUUAGCUAGUUGGUGAGGUAACGGCUCACCAAGGCUACGAUGUCUAGGGGUUCUGAGAGGAAGGUCCCCCCACACUGGUACUGAGACACGGACCAGACUCCUACGGGAGGCAGCAGUGAGGAAUAUUGGUCAAUGGGCGCAAGCCUGAACCAGCCAUGUCGCGUGCAGGAAGAACCUCGCCCUAGUGGGUUAGUAAACUGUCUUUUAUAGUAGAAGAAACACAUCUACGUGUAGAUGUCUGCCAGUAUACUAUGAAUAAGCAUCGGCUAACUCCGUGCCAGCCGCCGC